UUUUUUUUAAGACAGGGUCUUGCUCUGUCACCAAAGCUGGAGUGCAGUGGUGCAAUCAUGGCUCACUGCAGUCUCAACCCCUUGGACUCAAGCAAAUCCUCCCACCUCAGCUCCCAGAGUAGCUGGGACUACAGGGAUGUGUCACCACAACAAGCUAAGUUUUGUAUGUUUUGUAGAGAUGGGGUUUCAUCAUGUUGCCCAGGCUGGUCUCGAACUCCAGAGCUCAAGCAAUUCACCCACCUCGGCCUCCCAAAAUGCUGGAAUUAUAGGCAUGAGACAUGGCACGAGGCUUAGGAAGUCCAAUUAUUGAACGCCCAGAAUAAUCUGAAAUUUAGGAUCCCUAGAAGAUAUCCUGACAGGAGCCUCAAAAGUGCAUGCCUCCCGCACUCUAAAUAAUAUACCUCCAUAUAUAUAUAUAUUUGGAGACAGGUCUCACUCUGUCACCCAGGCAGGAGUGCAAUAGCGCAACCAUGGCUUAAUGCAGCCUUAACCUCCUGAGCUCAAGAGACCCUCCCACCUCAGCCUCCCAAGUAUCUGGGACUGCAGGUGUGUACCAAAAUGCCUAGCUAAAUUUUUUUAUUUUCAUUUUUUUGUAGAGACAGGGUCUUGAACUCCUGGCCUUCAAAUGAUCCUCUUCUCUCGACCUCCCAAAGUGCUAGAAUUACAGGCGUGAGCCACUACGCCUGACAAUAAUACCUAAUGCUUAUACAUUAUUUCAUAGUUCAAAGCACUUUCACUUCCAUUCUCUCAAUCCUUAAUAAUGACCCCAUAAGGAGGUAUUAUCAAAUUUAUUUUAUAUAUUGAAGAAACUGAGGCUCAUAUUUUAAAUAAUUUGCUAGCCUAAGGCAAGCUGAUAUCAGCUAAAGGAGGGCUUUCAUAUUUAGUCUCUUUUGCUUCAGUGCCCAAAAGAGGCAGGAACAAGAACACCACCAUCUCCACUCCCCUGGCCUGUACAAACAAGGUGGAUCAGACCACUAUCUGCUAUUGCUUUACUGAGCUGACUACCUCUUACGUUUUUCUUGUCUCCAUAAAAAUUAGCUGCCCAGAGUAUUUUUAUUAUGUCUUAAGCAAAAAAUGAGACCGGCCCAGGGAGAAAAAUCCCCAAGACUACAAACAACCACAUUCAUAAGCUGCUGGCUCAUAUCUUUAUAUACAAAGCUAAAGAAAUAAGGGCAAAACCUGCUCCAAUGGGGAGUUGUAAACCCUACUGACCAAACAGCCCCUCAGCACUUAGGCAGGUAGUUAUACACAGCUAAUUUAGUUUGUAAUAGUUUUUGUACUUUCUUCAAUAAUUUGUACUGCCUAUUGUUUUCUCCCUACCAUUCUAAAUGCCUCAAGAGCAAAGGUCACAUCUUCUAGUUAAUUUACAACUGUUCCUAUACGAUGACCAUAUAGCACCCAAACCAAAAUUGGUUUUUCUGGCCUGGAUAUUUAUAUAAAGUAUUACCCAAAUUUAAAAAUUAAAAUACACAGGCUGGGUACAGUGGUUCAUGCCUGUAAUCCCAGCACUUGGGAGGCCAAGACAGAAGGAUCAUUUGAGACCAGGAGCUCAAGACUAGCCUGGGCAACACAGUAAGACCUUGUCUCUAUAAAAAAUAAAACAAAAUUAGUCAGGCAUGGUGGCACACACACACCUGUGGUCCCAGCUACCUGGGAGGCUGAAGUGGGAGGACAGCUUAAGCCUCAGAGGUCAAGCCUACAGGGAGCCAAGAUCACGUCACUGCACUCCAGAUGACAGAGCAGACCCUGCCUCAAAAAUUAAAAAAUAGUCUGGGUGUUGUGGCUCAUGCCUAUAAUCUCACACUUUGGGAGGCCGAGGCGGGUGGAUCACCUGAGGUCAGGAGUUUGAGACCAGCCUGGCCAACAUGGCGAAACCCCUCUCUACUAAAAAUAUAAAAAUUAGUUGGGUGUUGGUGGCGCAUGCCUAUAAUCCCAGUUGCUCAGGAGGCUGAGGCAGAAUUGCUUGAACCCGGGAAGCAGAGGUUGCGGUGAGCUGAGAUCAUACCACUGUACUGCACUCUGGGUGACAAAGCAAGACUCUGUCUUAAAAAUAAAUAAUAAAUAAAUAAAUAACAAAAAAAAAUUUUAAAGACUUUAAGUAAUUGACAUUCUUCAACUAACAUUUAUAAAAUCUACAGUUUCUAAUAAAGAAACACCAAAAGACACUUAACACCUACAAUGGUGCCAGGCAUACAUUUGAGUGGGCACUCAAUAAAGUUGUGCUGAAUGAAUGAUAACUGAGAGCUUAAAAUCCAUUAAAAACCACUUAAGGCAUAAUAAAAUAUCCAGGACAAAAGCCAAAAGAAAUGACUAGAGACUGUCAAGUUAAUUGGAAAAAUAAGAUUCUAAGGUAGUUCACUCAAAGUCAUACUUAGGGUACCACAAGUGAACACUCUGGAUUUAAGCACCACAUUGUAUCUACAGCCAGAGUGAAUGCAUUAGGGCAGUGACUUAGCACGAGGGUUCUCUCUGCUCAGACCAGCAGCAUGCAACCAGCAGCAGCUUGCCCCUUCCCCCAGUUAGUCCCCAUUACCAACGCCCUGAAGCAUAGUCACAGAACUGCAGCAGUUAAGCCAGGCAGUACUAAAAGUUAGAAGGAAAUGAGCAUGCCACCUGACCCUUUUCUGGCACAGGCUAAGCUGAUUAGUUUAGGUUAUAAACACAACUACAAGAUUCCAGUACACUGAUGAAAUGACUCUUUUCCUACAAACUAAAAAUAACCUAUUAAAACAGGAGUGCUCCUCAAGUAUUUCUGCCCUGCCAGCAACCCAAAGUUCCAUUUCCUCAAAUCCUUCAUUAGUCUAGUCUUAUUGGAUCCAAGUCUCCACACCUCCCCCAUCUUCCCCACUCUUCAUCCUAAUGCUAUGAACACAGUGAAAGACCUAAACUCCUUUCCUAACCUCAUGCUUUUAAUGUUUCUUUUCCAAUAAGCAAACGUGCAGAACUUCCAUGGCUCCUGCCUUGUGUAGAGCCACAACUGGAAGACAUGCUGAGCUGCAGCAAAGAAUAAUGAAAAACAAAGGAAAACUGAAGGACAAGAUGCAGCAUGCUCAGGAAGUCAGCUAAAUGCUUUUCAUUCAGGCAGGCAUAGGAGGAGCCUCACCUACCUAGAAUACAGCAUAAGGACAAAUAGUGUCUAGUACAGAGCUAGACUAUACUUUAUCACUUUAGAACAAAGCCAUCAAGCAUGUUCUAGAGACAGACUCAUGUCCAAAGAGCUUUAGUAUCCUAUAAGAAUCACUAGGCUGUGCCGGGCGCGCCGGGCGUGGUGGCACAUGCCUGUAAUCCCAGCUAUUCAGGAGGCUGAGGCAGGAGAAUCACUUGAACCCGGGAGGCGGAGGUUGCAGUGAGCCGAAGUCGCACCACUGCACUCCAGCCUGGGCAACAGGGCGAGACUCCAAUUGAAAAAAAAGCAUCAUUAGGCUAUCUCAGGGUUGAAGUGACAUUUUCAGGGUAAACAAACUCCCAUCAUUUAAGCCAAAUAAAUCAAGACUGAAUUGCAGACUUUCCAGUCAUACAGAGCUGAGAGAAGCUCCUACUCUCUCAGCUUCCUACUACUAGGAAGUGGAAAUUCCAAAGAAGCUAGAAAACCCUGUCCUCAGUAGCUCUCCCUGCUCUCAGGCCCUGAGGUAAGCCAGCACUUCCUUUCCAAGGUCAAAAAUUAACCAUACGCUUUGAACAUCCUUGUGCUUUGCAACAGCACCAGGAAAAUGCCACAAUGCUACGCCACCCUAUACAGACCUAAGACAUUUGCUAUUCUUGAUUAUUCCCAAGAGUAGUCACUUGGGAUACUCAUUAAUGUACUUCCUAAAGAUCCAACUUUCAAAGUAGUCUUCUCAUGCUUAUUUUUAACCUUUUACCAUCUCUUAAAAAAAAAAAAUUCAGAUGUCUUGGGGCACUGAAGAAGAAAUAAAAAAGAAAAAGAAAACAAAAAUUGGCUUAUCUAUACAAUCUACACUCUCAGAAAAAUUCCUCCUGGGAAAAAAAAAAAAAAAAAAAAAAAA
rnacentral:lncRNA from 1 species